GAUCAUGGCUCAGGACGAACGCUGGCGGCGCGCCUAACACAUGCAAGUCGAACGGAGCUGAGAGGAGCUUGCUUUUCUUAGCUUAGUGGCGAACGGGUGAGUAACGCGUGAGUAACCUGCCCUGGAGUGGGGGACAGCAGUUGGAAACGACUGCUAAUACCGCAUAAGCCCACGGUAUCGCAUGGUACUGAGGGAAAAGGAUUUAUUCGCUUCAGGAUGGACUCGCGUCCAAUUAG
rnacentral:rRNA from 1 species